rnacentral:rRNA from 1 species
GAGAGUUAAACAGUACGUGAAAUUGUUGAAAGGGAAACGAUUGAAGUCAGUCAUACCAACGGGAAAUCAACCUUUUGAGCUUGGUCUCGUGGGUUUUGAAGAGUUUCAAAGCCUUCGGAUUCGCGAGAUUGGGAUCUCUUGGUGUACUUUUUCGUACGGUUAGUCAACAUCGGUUUUGAAUGUCAUAAAAUGACUGGAGGAAUGUAGCUUCGAUCUCGUAUUGAAGUGUUAUAGCCUUUGGUAGAUGUGAUGUUUGAGACCGAGGAUUGCAACGGAUACCCUUCAGGGCUAUUCGUCUGAUCUCUGAUACGUUGCCCUGAUGUUGAAAGCUUGCUUAUGAUGUUAGGGUAUUACGGUCAAAAGGUUAGAACGAAUUACAUUCGUUAAGGAUGUUGACGUAAUGACUUUAAACGA